rnacentral:rRNA from 1 species
AUACAAAGAGAAGCGACCUCGCGAGAGCAAGCGGACCUCAUAAAGUGCGUCGUAGUCCGGAUUGGAGUCUGCAACUCGACUCCAUGAAGUCGGAAUCGCUAGUAAUCGUGGAUCAGAAUGCCACGGUGAAUACGUUCCCGGGCCUUGUACACACCGCCCGUCACACCAUGGGAGUGGGUUGCAAAAGAAGUAGGUAGCUUAACCUUCGGGAGGGCGCUUACCACUUUGUGAUUCAUGACUGGGGUGAAGUCGUAACAAGGUAACCGUAGGGGAACCUGCGGUUGGAUCAC